CCUACGGGAGGCAGCAGUAAGGAAUAUUGGUCAAUGGACGAAAGUCUGAACCAGCCAUGCCGCGUGAAGGAUGACGGCCCUCUGGGUUGUAAACUUCUUUUAUAUGGGACGAAAAAAGGGAAUUCUUUCUCACUUGACGGUACCAUAGGAAUAAGCACCGGCUAACUCCGUGCCAGCAGCCGCGGUAAUACGGAGGGUGCAAGCGUUAUCCGGAUUCACUGGGUUUAAAGGGUGCGUAGGUGGGUAGGUAAGUCAGUGGUGAAAUCUCCGAGCUUAACUCGGAAACUGCCAUUGAUACUAUUUAUCUUGAAUUUUUUGGAGGUGAGCGGAAUAUGUCAUGUAGCGGUGAAAUGCUUAGAUAUGACAUAGAACACCAAUUGCGAAGGCAGUUCACUACGAAAUUAUUGACACUGAGGCACGAAAGCGUGGGGAUCAAACAGGAUUAGAUACCCUGGUAGUCCACGCCCUAAACGAUGGAUACUCGACAUCAGCGANACACUGUUGUGUGUGUGAGAAGACAUAAGUAGUACCACCUCGGAGGACGACCGCGAAGGUAGUAAGUUACAAUAGAGUUAGUAGGCGNGNGAGNGCGACGGACGACGACGAGGAGGAGG
rnacentral:rRNA from 1 species